CAGAAAAUAGUUUAACGCGCUAGAAUCCUAGCUUUGGGAGUUAGGGGUAGGAGUUGAAAUCUCCUUUUUCUGA
rnacentral:tRNA from 1 species